GGGGAAUAUUGCGCAAUGGGCGAAAGCCUGACGCAGCGACGCCGCGUGGGGGAGGAAGGCCCCAGGGUUGUAAACCCCUGUCAGGUGGGACGAACCCCGGUACGUCUAACAGGCGUAUCGACUGACGGUACCACCAGAGGAAGCUCCGGCUAACUCCGUGCCAGCAGCCGCGGUAAUACGGAGGGAGCAAGCGUUGUUCGGAAUUACUGGGCGUAAAGGGCGCGUAGGCGGCCUUGUAAGUCGCGUGUGAAAUGCCGGGGCUCAACCCCGCUGCACUGCACGCGAUACUGCAUGGCUGGAGAGAGGUAGGGGCGAGCGGAAUUCCCGGUGUAGCGGUGGAAUGCGUAGAUAUCGGGAAGAACACCUGUGGCGAAGGCGGCUCGCUGGACCUUUUCUGACGCUGAAGCGCGAAAGCGUGGGGAGCAA
rnacentral:rRNA from 1 species